UUUUCGGUAGGUGAACCUGCGGAAGGAUCAUUACCGAGUGCGGGUCCCUCGAGGACCUAACCUCCCACCCUUGUCUCUUGUAUACCCUGUUGCUUUGGCGGGCCCACCGGGGGGGUCCCCGGUCGCCGAGGGGCCACUGCGCCCCUGGGCCCGUGCCCGCCAGAGCGCCCGUGAACCCUAAUGAAGAUGGACUGUCUGAGCAUGAUUGAGAAUAAUCAAAACUUUCAACAAUGGAUCUCUUGGUUCCGGCAUCGAUGAAGAACGCAGCGAAAUGCGAUAAGUAAUGUGAAUUGCAGAAUUCCGUGAAUCAUCGAAUCUUUGAACGCACAUUGCGCCCCCUGGCAUUCCGGGGGGCAUGCCUGUCCGAGCGUCAUUUCUGCCCUCAAGCACGGCUUGUGUGUUGGGUGUGGUCUCUCCCCUGUGACCGGGGGGGAGACCUGCCUGAAAGGCAGUGGCGACGCCCGCCUAGGUCCUCGAGCGUAUGGGGCUCUGUCACCCGCUCGGGAAGGGUCUACGGGCGUUGGUCAUCCACGAUCGUUUUUCCACGGUGACCUCGGAUCAGGUAGGAGUCCCAAUCCC
rnacentral:rRNA from 1 species